CGGAUGCCAUCUUUCACGCAGACUCUUGUUCUCACGGGCGAAAGAAGCCAACGCGGGUCUGGAUGGGCUCAAGUGAUGCGGUGUCGCGAAAGAAGAUGAGGCUGCCACAUGCUACAUCUCGUGCCUUCUUCUCACCCUCACCCACCCCUACGUCAUGCUCACAGAGCCUGCAGGUGCAGCAAGCAGACGCGGAGAUGGUGCAGAGAGCGCAGGCGUCGAUGUGGGGAUGGCCAUCGAGGAGGGGAUCCAGGCGUAGACGACAGCAAUAUAUGCUGCAAGCCGACUGCUACCGGAGCCCGCCGCAUGGCUGUUAGCAUCUCCUUGAAGCAGUCGAUGCGGCUCGGUCAUGGCCAGCUUGCUGUCGCUGGUCACCGCCAACCGAAUGGGAGGAUGUGGACGAGGAGGAAAGGAGGCUUGCUCGCCCGAAUUGGCAUGGGGGUGCGUAGGAGAGGAAGGGGAGGACUGGAGGAGGGAUGCCAGAGGAACCUUUGGCUCCGUUCCCAGCCUGAACCGUAUCUCGCAACGAAAUUGUACAUCAGGCCUCAAACGGAAGCAUAUGGCAACAGAGAAGAAAUCAGCCUGGGUCGAAGGGCAUAAGCCUGCCAGCAAGCUUCCAGUGCGCAGCUUCAUCCCGGAUAUGCGCAAAUGUUCCCAGGAAGCGAAAGCACUUUCCCAUUAGAAAAAAAAUCCCGCGGUUCCUUUUCUUUCAAAUCUCCCAACAAACAAGAAUUGAAGAGAUUUGGAUCCUUCCUUGCCGUUAACACCAGUGGCACACCGUGAGUCUGUGAUCCUAGGAAGACUGAUACUUUUAAUUUGCCGAAAAGGGAGCAUGACCAUGAUUGUUUUAUUCCUCGCUGAUUUGUAUUGUGAUGGUACCUUCAAGAAUUACAUAAUACCCCUGGUUUCUAUUA